AAUAAGAUGCCUGAAAAAAGGGUAAUUUUGAUAGAAUUAAACAUGUGAUAAUCACUCUUAUUA
rnacentral:tRNA from 1 species